GUCAUUGGCGUUUGCGAUUGUGUCGGAUAAUGAAGAUUGGUAAAAUGAAGGUUUUUACAUUAGUGGUAUUAUCUCUGGGCGCCUUUGCAGGAAUUGCUGAUGCGGUACGAUGCUAUGCCUGCAGUGCAUACCGGAACCAACCAUGUGGGGUUGACGUUGACCGUACAACACCAAUAAAAUCUGGCUGUAGCUUUUGUGUGGUUAAUUUUAACAAGAUAAAUGGAAUUACAAAAGUUGUGAGGAUAUGCAUGACAUCGACAGACGUUGGCUUAGACACAGAUGAGAGUGGCCCAGUGGGUGUAUGCGUGACUGCGGAUACGUGCAGCUGCAAUACAGACCUUUGCAAUGCCAACACGCAAUCAGCUCUUGCGGCCGCCUCCGGUGGCACAGGACGCUUUUCCGCUUCAAACGUCUGGAUACUAGGCAUAGUUGCCGUCAUGGCAUUGAUUAUGGAUGCCUUCUGACUUUCAUAUUACUAUAUGAAGUAAUUUGUUGAUUUCAGUGUAUACAUCCUAUUUUUAUUUCAUGAGUUGUCAUAUAAAACGUAUUUUAACGAGUGACGUUCAAUGUUUUUGCAUUGUUUUUGCGUGAACACAAAUGCAUUGGUAUUAUAUCUACGAUUUGUUACUGACAUUAAACAUUUUUAGUUCACGCCUGUGUCAAACAAUACAUAUUUUGAAAGGCAACAUUUGAUUUAGCGUCAUUACAUCUCAUAAAUCUGACAUGAUUAAAAUGACUUCAUACGAUCAAAAAAUGUCGCUGCCCGCUAUGUGGCAAUGGCAAAGUUAUUUAGCUUGUGUGUAUUUUAACAUUGAUUGUAUUAAUUAUUGAAUUAUUUUAUUUAUUUUCUGAUGAUUAAUAGGUUGAAUGUUACACUGGUGAUGAGAUAAUUAACCGUUGUUUACUAGUUUCUAAAAAUAAGCACCGCACGAGAGUGAAAAUGUAAAACCAAAUCAUGUCGCUCGAGCAAGAGUGAAAUGAUCAUGUUAUCACCCAUUCAAAUAGCAUGCAAUAAAGGUGUGUAUCACAUGUGUGGUAUUAAUUGAAGUAUGUGCACAAUUAUGAUUAUGAUAUUGACAUACUUUACUAUAAACAUAGUUUGCUAUAUUUAGCGGCUUAAUGUUUGUUUAGCCUUAAUUUAAGUGAGGUAUACUGCUUUAAUAUAAUAAACUUACACAAACAGCAAUACAUUAAAUCAUAUUGUUACGCAUAAUAACACACAUAUAGUUGUGUAUGAAGUCU